rnacentral:lncRNA from 1 species
UGUACGCUAGACACCCCGUGCUUCAGCCCAGAGAGGUGGUCCUCACUGUGCUCGGCGUCCUCCGUCCCCGGGUCAGCAUACAGGAUGUCCCCAGUGUGGUCGGGGACCUCCGUCCCCCAGGUCGGCACACGGGGUGUCCCCACUGUGGUCGGCGUCCUCCGUCCCCGGGUUGGCACACAGAGGUGUCCUCACUGUGGUGCGCGUUCUCCGUCCCCCGGGUCAACACAUGGAGGUGUCCCCCCCAGGGCCCGUGGUCUGCGGGAGCUGCAAGUGGCGCCCCCAGGGCAGAGCGUGGUGCUGUCCGGGCUCCGUCCCCGCGUCCGGGCGGGCAGGUCGGUCAUCAGGGAGCGGGCCGUGGGGUCCGGCAGCAGCGGCAGGCCCCGCCCUCCGCCUGGGCAUCAGGUGUGCAGGAGUCGGACGGUCGGCGGCGUUGUCCGGGUGACCGAGGCUGAGCGCGGACAGGCAGGCUCGGGCCGGUGGGUGCGCGCCGCGGGCUCCUCCGCAGCGGUUCCGGCCGCCGAGACGGAAAGAAGCACCGGGUAGGCUCCGGGGUGCGGGAAGCGACACGGCGUCGACGUGGGCUCGUGAGCCGCUCGGCCGGGACACGUGGCAGCGACGCAUGCGCCUGCCGCCCGCCGUUUCCGCUCUCCGGGGCCCGCGCCCAGGGGUGAGGGAGCCUCGGGUGGGGCAGCGGGAGGCGGGGUCCUGGGCCGAAGGGUCCGCGGCGAUGGCCCCGAGAGGAGAGCAGAGCGUGUCG